GAUGAAGCCCAGCUUGCUGGGUGGAUUAGUGGCGAACGGGUGAGUAACACGUGAGUAACCUGCCCUUAACUCUGGGAUAAGCCUGGGAAACUGGGUCUAAUACCGGAUAGGAGCGCCUACCGCAUGGUGGGUGUUGGAAAGAUUUAUCGGUUUUGGAUGGACUCGCGGCCUAUCAGCUUGUUGGUGAGGUAAUGGCUCACCAAGGCGACGACGGGUAGCCGGCCUGAGAGGGUGACCGGCCACACUGGGACUGAGACACGGCCCAGACUCCUACGGGAGGCAGCAGUGGGGAAUAUUGCACAAUGGGCGCAAGCCUGAUGCAGCGACGCCGCGUGAGGGAUGACGGCCUUCGGGUUGUAAACCUCUUUCAGUAGGGAAGAAGCGAAAGUGACGGUACCUGCAGAAGAAGCACCGGCUAACUACGUGCCAGCAGCCGCGGUAAUACGUAGGGUGCGAGCGUUUUCGGGAAUUAUUGGGCGUAAAGAGCUCGUAGGCGGUUUGUCGCGUCUGUCGUGAAAGUCCGGGGCUUAACCCCGGAUCUGCGGUGGGUACGGGCAGACUAGAGUGCAGUAGGGGAGACUGGAAUUCCUGGUGUAGCGGUGGAAUGCGCAGAUAUCAGGAGGAACACCGAUGGCGAAGGCAGGUCUCUGGGCUGUAACUGACGCUGAGGAGCGAAAGCAUGGGGAGCGAACAGGAUUAGAUACCCUGGUAGUCCAUGCCGUAAACGUUGGGCACUAGGUGUGGGGACCAUUCCACGGUUUCCGCGCCGCAGCUAACGCAUUAAGUGCCCCGCCUGGGGGAGUACGGCCGCAAGGCUAAAACUCAAAGGAAUUGACGGGGGCCCGCACAAGCGGCGGAGCAUGCGGAUUAAUUCGAUGCAACGCGAAGAACCUUACCAAGGCUUGACAUGUUCUCGAUCGCCGUAGAGAUACGGUUUCCCCUUUGGGGCGGGUUCACAGGUGGUGCAUGGUUGUCGUCAGCUCGUGUCGUGAGAUGUUGGGUUAAGUCCCGCAACGAGCGCAACCCUCGUUCCAUGUUGCCAGCACGUAAUGGUGGGGACUCAUGGGAGACUGCCGGGGUCAACUCGGAGGAAGGUGAGGACGACGUCAAAUCAUCAUGCCCCUUAUGUCUUGGGCUUCACGCAUGCUACAAUGGCCGGUACAAUGGGUUGCGAUACUGUGAGGUGGAGCUAAUCCCAAAAAGCCGGUCUCAGUUCGGAUUGGGGUCUGCAACUCGACCCCAUGAAGUCGGAGUCGCUAGUAAUCGCAGAUCAGCAACGCUGCGGUGAAUACGUUCCCGGGCCUUGUACACACCGCCCGUCAAGUCACGAAAGUCGGUAACACCCGAAGCCGGUGGCCUAACCCUUGUG
rnacentral:rRNA from 1 species